rnacentral:rRNA from 1 species
UACGUAAAAGACUAGUGUUAGUCAUCUUUAUUAGGUUUAAAGGGUACCUAGACGGUAAAUUAAACCCCUAAAGGGUACUUUUUUACUAGAGUUUAUAAGAGAAAGGGAGAAUUUUAGAGUAGAGAUAAAAUUCUUGAUACUAAAAGGACUGGUGAAGGGCGAAGGCGUGACUUUCUAUGUAAAAACUGACGUUGAGGGAC